rnacentral:tRNA from 1 species
GGAAUAGUGCCUGAACUAAAGGGCCACUUUGAUAGAGUGGAUAAUGAAUGUUAAAAUCAUUCCUCUUCCU